GACGAACGCUGGCGGCAUGCCUAACACAUGCAAGUCGAACGAGACCUUCGGGUCUAGUGGCGCACGUGUGCGUGACGCGGGGGAACCUGCCCUUAGGUACGGAAUAACUCACCGAAAGGGGUGCUAAUACCAGAUAAUCUCUUCGGACCAAAGAUUUAUCGCCUUUGGGUGGGGGCGCGUUGGUUUAGGUGGUUGGUAGGGUAAAAGCCGAGCAAGGCGACGUUCCAUGGCUGGUCUGUGAGGAUGAUCAGCCACACUGGGACUGAGACACGGCCUAGAAUCCGACGGGAGGGAGCAGAGGGGAAUAUUGGACGAGGGGCGCAAGCGUGAUACAGCAGCGCGGCGUAUGACAUGAUGCGCUUAGUGUUGUAAAGCUCUUUUACCCGAGGCGUUAAUGACAGUACCGGGUGAAUAAGCACCGGCUAACUCCGUG
rnacentral:rRNA from 1 species